rnacentral:rRNA from 1 species
GCUCGUGGAUCGAUGAAGACCGCAGCUAAAUGCGCGUCAAAAUGUGAACUGCAGGACACAUGUACACCGACAAGUUGAACGCAUAUUGCACACCGUACAACAGUACGAUGUACACAUUUUUGAGUGGCUAUAUUUAUCCAUUCAACUGUACCUGCGUGCGCGUCCCGUGCGUGCGCGAGGACAGUCGCAUCACGUACGCGUAGUGACGUUUUCCUGGCCCUCAGUAAAACGUUGAAGAUAAUCAGGCGCGCCCCACCCAGGUGCGGUUGAUGAAUACAUCCCUUAGACCAACGCGCUUGGUUAUGUUCUAUUUCAUCGGCAGGCCAGCCGGCCACCGCCACCCAGUAGACCUCAAAUAAUGUGUGACUACCCCCUAAAUUUAAGCA